UGGGGAAUAUUGGGCAAUGGGCGAAAGCCUGACCCAGCAACGCCGCGUGAGGGAAGAAGGUUUUCGGAUUGUAAACCUCUGUCGCAGAAGACGAAGGAAGUGACGGUAUUCUGUGAGGAAGCCCCGGCUAACUACGUGCCAGCAGCCGCGGUAAUACGUAGGGGGCAAGCGUUGUCCGGAAUGAUUGGGCGUAAAGGGCGCGUAGGCGGCCCGGUAAGUCUGGAGUGAAAGUCCUGCCUUCAAGGUGGGAAUUGCUUUGGAUACUGUCGGGCUUGAGUGCAGGGAG
rnacentral:rRNA from 1 species